rnacentral:tRNA from 1 species
GCGAGCGUGUUGGAAUUGGUAGACAAGCCGGUCUCAGAAGCCGGUGCCCGCAAGGGUGUGGAGGUUCAAGUCCUCUCGCUCGCACCA